rnacentral:rRNA from 1 species
UGGGGAAUAUUGGACAAUGGGCGAAAGCCUGAUCCAGCCAUGCCGCGUGUGUGAAGAAGGCCUUUUGGUUGUAAAGCACUUUAAGCGAGGAGGAGGCUACUAGUACUAAUACUACUGGAUAGUGGACGUUACUCGCAGAAUAAGCACCGGCUAACUCUGUGCCAGCAGCCGCGGAAAUACAGAGGGUGCGAGCGUUAAUCGGAUUUACUGGGCGUAAAGCGUGCGUAGGCGGCUGAUUAAGUCGGAUGUGAAAUCCCUGAGCUUAACUUAGGAAUUGCAUUCGAUACUGGUCAGCUAGAGUAUGGGAGAGGAUGGUAGAAUUCCAGGUGUAGCGGUGAAAUGCGUAGAGAUCUGGAGGAAUACCGAUGGCGAAGGCAGCCAUCUGGCCUAAUACUGACGCUGAGGUACGAAAGCAUGGGGAGCAAACAGG